UACGGAGGAUCCAAGCGUUAUCCGGAAUCAUUGGGUUUAAAGGGUCCGUAGGCGGUUUAGUAAGUCAGUGGUGAAAGCCCAUCGCUCAACGGUGGAACCGGCCAUUGAUUACUGCUAGACUUGAAUUAUUAGGAAGUAACUAGAAUAUGUAGUGUAGCGGUGAAAUGCUUAGAGAUUACAUGGAAUACCAAUUGCGAAGGCAGGUUACUACUAAUGGAUUGACGCUGAUGGACGAAAGCGUGGGUAGCGAACAGG
rnacentral:rRNA from 1 species